GUCGAUAUGUGAUUUUAACUAGAUGGAAGGGCACAAGUUGCCCGCAAUUCUUUAUUGUCCAAUACUAAAUAUAGGUCAACAUUAAAAGAACUCACAAUUAUACAUAAGAAAAGUAAAAUUAUUUAAAAUGGACAAAGUACUUAUUGAAGUGUUUACAAAAAUUAGAAUAAAAUAUUUAGAGAUGAUAUUUAAUCAAAAUAAAAAUUAGACAUCAUCCUCUAAGUGUCUAAAAUGUAAUCCAAGUGUUAAAAUACUUUAAUAAAUCAUCCAUCACUCCAAAUUAAAUCAAAUUUGUCAUCAUCUUCAAAACAUUCAACAUGGUGGAACAUGAGAGCAUACAAGAUAAAUCUGAAAAAAAAAAAACCUAAUUACAAACUAAAAAGCCAAAAUAUUAAACUAUGUGUCAAUCAAUACCAAAUUAAUUGACAUUAAGAACACUUUACAGAAUAAUUAACAUCGAUAAUAAUAGAGAUACUUGCAAAAUAAAUCCUAAAAAAAUAUCUAGAGACGAAAUUUUACCAUGAAAAAAGGGACAACAUCUACUAUGUGUCUAGAAUACAACUAAAAGGCCAAAUCAUUAAAUUAUGUCUAGUUUAAUAUCAUGUUUAAUCACAAGCACAUUGAUAAGAAAUAGUGUAGAUUUCAAUAGCAAAUCAAAAUAGAUUUAUUUGACUAAUUUAGAAGUAUGAUAAAAUCAAGAAAAAAAAUGUACAAACCCUCAAUAUAUCUACCUUAUAGGAAAAAUAACAACGUGAUUUAAUCACACAAGAAGUUUUAAAACAAGCCAAACAUCCCUUGACUACAAAAUGGGGUUAGUGCAACAUGUGUAGAAUUUUUUUUUUCUCUCCCUUUGGGGGAAUCGGUUUUCAACAAAACAGGGUCCUAAAAUUAAAUUCAAGAAAUUUGAUUAAGGAAAAAAUAUAAAAAAUAAAAAUAAAAAUUUAAGAGGUUAUCAAAUAAUUUAAUUUUGCAAAACGAGUGUGGGUGUCUAGAACAUAGUGAAAAAUGAGCAUAUUGAAAGAUUGGUUUAUAUCUCUUUAAUGGAAAAUGACUUUGGACUUGAGCAAAAUUCUAUCAACACAUUUGGGAAAUUUAAAACGUCAUACAAUGAUAAGAAAAUUUUAGAAAGACUUUAAAUAACUUGAAUCAAAAUUUUCAUUAUAGAAGUUCAACAAUUCAAACAAAACUACAACAAAGUGAACAAUCUAAACAUCACAAUAAAAAAAAAAGACUGAAAAAAAGAUCAAAGGCAAUAAAAAUCAAAUAGAGGAUUUCUUAGCCACCUAUCAUAUAUUAUCAAUAGACCUCAAUCAAGUGAGAAUAAUUUCAAAGAAAAUAAUCCUAAUAUCAAUUUUAAUAAGCAUCAAUCAACAUGAGAUCAAUAAACCAUUCAUCAAUAUAUCAUCAAUAAUCAAAGUGAUCUUUAUUAUCCUCCCUAAAUCAAGAGAAUUCCUAUACCUAAUCAAGAUGUAAGACAAAAAAGAGAUAGAUUGAGAGAUAAUCACAAUCAAGGUAUGCAAGAAAAUAAAAACAUAUCUCUCCUUCAAAGAUACAAGCUUAUUACUCCUUUCUUGUUUUCCUAUGCUGAGUCUCGCCUUCUUGACCUUCAAGACUUCAACUUUUCUUUUCAAGAUGCUCCAUUUUUUCUUCAAGAUCAAUUUGUGGCAACCUUAAGUCCCUCUCUUAAUGGCCGAGCCGUGGGUGUCUCUUUCUUCCUCCAAAAAGCUUUCAAAACUUCACAUUUUCUCCUAUGCAUGUACGAGUCUCCAAAAAUCUGAUUUGUAGUCCCUUUAUGGCGUGAUCUCAUUCCUCCAAGUCUGUAAUGGCAGCCUACCUCUCCUUAAAAUCUUUAAAUGGUCGUGAUAUUUUCCUUAGGCUAAUCUGACACCUGAAUUUUGUUACAAAAUGUAACCUUUUAUUUUAACUUUCCAUAACUUUAAAAAUCAACUUACUUGGACAUCUGUAGCAACAGUUAAGCCCAAAAUACUAAAGCAUGUUCAACAUAUGAUGGGAAAGUUCACCCGAACCUUGUCACAAAAGUUACUCUUUAAUAAAGAUUGAUUUAGGAAAAUUUGUCAACGGAUGAAGUGUAGCCAUUUCCGUUAGCUGUCAUAGCUUAAAAAACCAACUUAUUUGAAUAUUUGUGGCAAAAGUUAUGUCUAAAAUAUUGAAGCUUGUUCAACAUAUGAUGAAAAAGCUCCCCUACUCUCUCUCAAUCUCCUCAAUUUGUGGAUUCCUCCUUAAUGUGGCAGCCGGGUUAUUUUUUCCUCGAAAAUCCCCAACCAUGAGUUCCAAUCAUCAAGAACUCUUAUGGUAGUCCAACCCUCUAAAAAUUCUCUCCUCCAAUGUCAAUUUCCUUCCAAAUCAAAUAUGGUAGCCCAUAUAUAUCUUCUUUCCUUUGGCGUGAAACUUUAUCCUCAGCCAAUAUGGUAGCCCUCUCAAAUAAAAUCUCCAAUCAUGAGUGAUCUUCCUUUCCCUCAAAGUCUCCAAAAUUUUUCCAAUUUGAUCUCUAACUCCCCAAGGUGUGGACUCCUUCCUCCCUUAUCUAAAAUUUCAAUGUUAACCAUACAUAUCACUUCUCAAAUCAAAUUGUCAUGAUCAUAAAGAAUCUUUCCCUCAAUGGCCAAGUCUCCAACCUUUCCUUCUUUCUUCCAAGUGCGUGAAUUUCUCUAUCCAAAAGUUUUAUGGAAAUCCACCUUCCAUCUAAAGUCUCCUAUCUUUCCUAAAAAAGUCUUGUCAAUCUCAAUCUAAAAAGAGUCCUACACUCAAUUCCAACUCAAUAGCCAUGAUGCUAAUGUGUGAAUUCUCCAAGAGUCCUAGCCUUCCUAAAAUCCCAAAAGCCAUUUUCCAAUAAGUUUUCCUUAUUUAAAAUCUCAAAUGCCAAUCUCCAACUCUCCAAACCGUGUACACCUUAGAAAAUCCUUCUCAAUCUCCAAUUUUGAUUUCCUAAACGACUCCAUGCACAUGCCAUGCAAGGUGACGAGAUACUAUACUAAAGUACACCUAAAAAAAAAAAAAACCUAAAAUGCAUCUAGAUAAACUAUUCUAAAAUACACCUAGAUGAACUAACUUAAAAUGUAUUUAAAUUUGAUGAACUAAAUAUGCAUUUAGAUGAACUAUUCUAAAGUGCACCUAAACUAAGAUAUAACUAAGAAAUUUUCUAAAAUGCAACUGAGUUAGGCUAAGUGAACUAAGUGAGUUAAAUUAAGGUGCAUCUAAGUGAGCUAAACUAAGGUGUAUUUAAGUGAGCCAAACUAAAGUGCAUCUAAGUGAACAAAACUAAAGUGUAUCUAAGUGAACUAAGGUAAAGUGUAACUAAGUUAAUGAAGGUAAAAAGCAACUAAGUGAGCUAAACCUAGAAUAUAACUAAAGGUCACAUAUGGGAUCCAUGAAAAUCCCUCAACAACGAGUUUCCAAAGGUGAUGACAAAAAAAAUAAAAUAAAAUAUAAUAAUAAUAAUACCAAAUGAGUGACAAUGAACUACUAUGGGAUGACUAUAAGACAACGAGAAGUGAAGAAAGACAAAAAAUAACAUAUGCUACUAGGACAAAAUGAAGGGUCUAUACUAUCCCACUUGGUCUUAAUUAAUUAUCCCCAUUCGGCUCCAAUUAAGUAAUUAGCUUAAUCUAGAAAGACCAUUCAUAAACUCUUAUGUAAUAUCAUGUUUUUACCAAUACACCCUUAUGUACACAUAUGAAUAAAAACCUAUAAAUCCUUGAAAAUAACAUCUCACUAAGGGAUAUGAGCUCAAGUAAGAACCACUAGGACAAAUAGAAAAAUAUUGGCUCCCCCACAAUCAAAUUCUAAAGCUAACUUAGCAUCUUACCAUAUAGAGUCAACUACACUCCACCAUCUUAUGAAAAUUAUUUCGACAAAUAAAUUAAUUAAAUCUAAUUUAAUUCUCAGGUUCGUGAUCUACUAAUCACUACAUGCAAGGUUCCUACGAAUUGAUAUUUGUAAUCUAAUGAGCUGUAACUACCAUAUUCUCAAGAUUACCUAUACCAUCCUUGAGACUCAAAUCAUCUUAUUAUAUGAUCAACUAAUAUGUUCUAACUCAUUAAGAGCAUGCGUCAAAUUCUACUACAAGAAUUAUUAUGACUAUAAAUUUUAUGAUUAGAAGUCCUUAGGAUCACCCAAGGGAUACAUUGUCUCAAACCCAAAAUAUAUCAUAGUGUCUAUAUUGAAAAUACUUGUUUCCAUUUUCCUUAAACAAUAUUGGUCCAAUUCAUAUAGAACAUAUGAACUUCUCAAGGUUUUGCUUAUAGGUCAAAUCCACUAAAGACCUCAGUAAAGCUCAAUAUUCUCUUAAGAUUGAGAACUCAAGCAACAUAGUAGUUUGGUGAAGUUAUGACUAUAGGUUUCAUACAAUGUGUAACCAUACGCAUUAGUGCACUCACCAUAAAAAACUCAUCCCAAUGACCAAAACAAAUAAUCCAUUUAAUUAGGAGGUUAUGCAUUACAACUUUACAUAGAUUGCUUAAGUCCAUGAACUAGUUAUGAACAACUCAUCAACUUGUAAGUAACUCAUGACUUGAUUUUUUUGUGUAACUCUUAAUACAAUCAAUUCAUCUACAAUACAAGUGAUGCAAACUUAAUUACUUAACAUAAAAAUAAUGCAUAAAUAGAAUAGUAAAUAGAAACCAAAAUCAUAUUAUAAAUAUUAUUAUAAAUAUUAAUGAAAUCAUUUUAUUAUUACAUUAUGUCAUACUUUUAAGGGUUUUAUCCUAACACUUUAUAAACCCUUUAUUAGUACAACAUAUUAAGUCAUUAGACCCACCAUCAAUAUAGUCUCCAACCUCUUUAAACCCACCAUUAGUACAUUGCCCCACCUCUUCAAACCUAUCAUUAGUAUGGUCCCUUACUUAUUCAAACUCACCAUUAGUACAGUUCUGUAUCUCUUUAGAUCCACCAUUAAUACAUCCCCUACCUCUUUAGAUGUAUUAUUAUUACAUCUUACUACCUCUUUAGAUCGACUUUCAGUGCCUCUUAUCUUGUAUGUCAACCCACUUUCAUUAUACAUUGACGCUUUUUUAGCUAUCUCACCCCAUGCAAAUCUUGCAUCCAUGUCAUUAGCCCCAUCCCCAAUACAAAUGUCUAUACCAUCUACCUUAGUACCACUAAAACCAUCCAUACCAUCAACCUUUACCCCAAUUGAGACUAAUACACUAGCUCGUACACUUUCGCAUGGUACAUCUAUAUUUAUGCCUCUUCUUCUAGAGGCCACCACAUGUACUCAAUUGGAUGUAUCCCUAGACAUUUCGAUGGGUGGGUGCAUGCUGCUCCAACCUAGAGUCCUCCCUCCAUCCUUAGUUCCAACUAUUAUAGAUAGAUGUUAAUCACAUCUUAUAGGUAGAUCCACUAGUUGCUACAAUUAGAAAGGGGUGACAAAGAGGAAGAGAGUACUAAUUAGUUAUAAGUUUUUUUCCAUGUGGAAGUAUAUGAGAUUAUGUACUGUUUUUUUAUCCCACUGUAUGAAAGUUUUGUGGGUAUAUUAAUUACUUUGAUAAAGCUUGUAAACAAUAUAUUUCGCAAUAAAAUCUUAUAGUUAAUUUCAUUAACUUUCAUUUUUAUCAUAUAUUGAAUAAUCGACUAUCAUACAAAUCAUUGAGCUCUAUAGUAGUCACACAUGUAUGUGUUCAAAAAACAUCAUUUUAGUUUAAAAUUAUAAAAUAAGUUUAUAAAAAGUUAUAAAAUUAUUUUUAAGCUCAAACUCUUAUUUAAAAAAUGUAUGUUUUAAAAUAGUAAAAAUCUAUAAAUUGAAACUUUAAAUUAAUAUUACUUCAAUAAAGAUAAAAUUUGAAAAAUACCUAAAAUUAUUACCCUAUCAUGAAAUUAAUAAUCUUAAUAAAUAAUUUAAAUAAUAUAACAUUAUAUGAAAAUCUAUAAAGAAAAAAAAAAACAAAAAUAUUUAAACAUGUAACAGUCGUUUUCUACAAUAAUUCAUGACUUUUAACUUAAAAAUAAAACAUUUUUUUUAAAAAAAAAAAGAAAAAAAGAAGAAGCAAAAGCCGCAUGCUAAAUGGUGUUAGUAAAUUUAAACUGAAGCCGCAUUUUUAAAAGUUGAUUUUAAUCUAAUUAAAAAAAGGUUUUAAUCUAAUUAAAAAAAUGAAAUUACAUGACUUUUAGAUGGUAUGCUAUUUUUUGAUCGUUAAGUUUGAGAAUAUGACCAAGGAUAGCACGACUAUCUUUUAUGUAUAUAGUCCAAAACUCUGAAAGCUUUACCUACUUCUAUACCAAAGGGAGCUUGAGUUGAGUGCACUGCAAGUGGAGACCAUCUGAAACCUGGGUCGAUCUGGCCCACGCCACUACAGUUCUAGAAUCACCCACAUAGGCCCAGGCCUACAACAAUGCAACAAAUUCAAAAUGUAAUUUAGCAUACUAGGUGGGGUGACAUUGCACAUCCAAGAAAGCUUGGUCCUUGUCCUAAAAUUCAGUCUGCACUGCACAUGACACAUGACAGAAGAUGAGGUGGAAAGAAAAGAUAGAAAAAGGAAGCUGGCUCGACCGGCCCGACCGGCCCAACUGGGCCACCUGGCCCUUUGACCUUCAAAGUUAGGAAAAGGUCUUAUUCAGACUGGUCCAGCCUCAGCAAAUUUUGAUUUCUACUUAAAAUAUACUAGAAUGAAUAUUCUCAACCAUUUGCAUUUUCCUAGUCAUACCAUUUAUUCUUAAUAUAGUUAGCAAGCUUGAAGUUUCUUAUUCUAUUCUAUUUUUCUGUCCUAAAUAUCGCCUCUGCCCAAAACCCGGUGGGUUAAUAUAAUAAUAAUCAGAAACCGAACUUAGCUAUCAUUAAGAAUGAUGUUGACUAAAGAAGCUGCAAGUGGAUGGUAAUGCAUCUUCCUCAAAUCUGAAUACUAUAUAUAUUUUUUCAACAUUACCUACUAUCCACAAAAGGCGGUGACCAUGAUCAUGACUUCCCUGGUUAUGUUUUUCAACAUUACCCAUAAAAGGCGGUGUCCGUGAUCAUGCCUCCCCUGGUUAUGGUUAUGGAUUGUUCUUCUAAAAAUAUUAGCAUGUAAGAAGAAGACUCAUUAUGUGAAAACUGAUAUUUUUUUAUUAUUUAAUCUUCAUCUCACGUUAUAAUAAGUGGGUAAUGAAGUGGGCAUCAUAAUGAAUAGUCGUCUUGGGAUGCAAAUAUGAGUUAACCUAAUAAAAGCCAUAUUCGUGAGAACAAGAUUGAUAGACCGUGUUUACAAAAACACCACCAAGAAGUUUAAUCAUCAGAUCAUAUUCAUAAUAAUACGAAUAGAAAAUCGUAUUCUUAUAAAUUCAAUAAUAUAGUUUUAGAGAAUAUUCCACUGUUAUAAACGGUUAUAAUUUUGACCUAUCAGAAGAAGAUGAUAUAUAGACUUACGAUGAAAGAUAAAAACUAAAGAAUAUUUUAAAGAAACCUUAAUGUUAUUAAAUUUAAAUAUUUUCUAGUGCAAGUACAUUUAAAUAAAAUGAAGAAAUUAUUUUUAUGGACCCAAGAAAUUAUUGUGCCAAGUAUAAAGCAUAAAAGUUAGAACGACAUAGAAUCAAAAGAAAAAUCUAGAAAAAGAAAAGUAGAGAGGAAACAUCGCGGAACCAACCUAGAUAUUAUCUUGUUUGACAAGAGAUUAUUGUGCCAUCCGACUUUUAACACAUUGGUUGAUACUAUUCUAAAUGCUUCAGGACCCUUUUACCACUUUACCCAUCAAUAAAUGCUAAUCGUAUAUACGAAGACCUUGUCUUAAUAUUUCACAUCUAACCAUGGUUUAGCAGGUAAACAUAUGGUUAAGAAAAUUAGAGAAUAGGUGGUGCCCCAUCCAAAAAAUCAACCAACCCACAAUUUACAAUUUACCGUCCAAAAAUAAUGGCAAUAAAUUACAACAUAAAAUAUGGAAAAUUUAAACGGAUAUAUUCGUAGUUGAGCGUGAACCUAAGCGGCAUAAUGCGUAUAUAAAAUUGACCGCGCACAUGGUCGGAACACGACAAUGGGAAAUCAAAACAGAAAACAAAACAUGACAGCGAAUGCGUGAUCUACACGGUGUCGAUACCCAGAGGGCCACACCUAACCCUAUCAUUUGCCAGCCAUGCUCCACUGUGGAUUCCCUACUUGCCCAUCACACGCCACCAUCGCACCCAGCAAUGAUCCGCCGCCUCCACCUUCACCUCCACCUCACCACCAUACAACCCAUGUGGAACAACACUUACGAGAAAAGUAAAAUCAUAGAAUUGAUCGAGGAGUAGGCUGGUGGGUUUGAUAAGGGCUUGAAAGCUCAUGAGAAAUGUGUUUGGGGUGAGCCUCAUACUCGCUUAAAUGUUUGACCAACUCCCUCACGUGUUUGUUAAUGUCACUAAAAUUUGGAAUUGAGAUAUAUAGUCAAGCAGAAAGUUCCCGAGUGGUGGAUACGCAAGGCCUUAAUGGGAGGCUUUGUUUUCAUGGUCCCUACUAUCGUGUUAAGUUUUCAUAUUUGAGGCAGGAGAAUUCUUUUCUUGGGAUUGCUUUUGCGUGGAAAGCCCAUAGGAUGCUUCAUUCUUCAUUUCUCCAUUCCUUUCCUUCUUUGUCUUGCCCUUUGUCUCCGGGGGGUUCACCCCCUUGCUUCUCAAAGCACGGGUGGUACCUAAUAGUAGCCAAGCAGCCAACUAAGAAUCAGUCACAAAAUUCCAACACUACAUACCCAGUGAAAAAUGCCAUCCGUCGCACAGGAUGUUUGGUAGCAUUCGAUUUAAUGCAAUUUUGUAAUAUUUUAAAAAAUUUAAGUUUGGUGAAUGGAGCCCGCAUGAAUAAUGUAUGUUUAGCAUCUUUCUUAAUAUUUAUGCUGGAAAUUGCAGGUACACCCAACAAAGGGAAAGAACUAAAUGAGAGUGUCCAUUAUGGAAAGACAUUUCCCUUCCAAAGCACAUCAUCACUUAAAAAAACUUCCGUCUUCAAAUCAUAGUCAGAAAUAAUUGGCAGUUAGAACUAGCACCUCGAGUCCUAAAGGUCUCUGUUUUCUUCUACAACACAUCUUAUUUAAAUACACAGCUCACAUUUUUUUUUUAAUUUAUUGACAUAUGUCACUGUUAAUUUUCCCGAAAGUGUAUGAUUAAUUAGUUAAAAAACUCAAAUUUCUGGCAUGGGUAGUUAUGAAGACGACAAGCUGACACUUGUCCCAUCUUUGCCCUCACUCAUCGCCACCCAACCGGAAAGUUCAAUACACGCGUUGCAACGAGGUGGUACAAAUUCAGCCCCAUCAUUCCAGCGAAGAGAAAGGACUGGGAAAAGGUUGGGAGAAAAAAGAAAGGAAAAAAGUGUAAGGGUGAGCGGCAGCCAUAAACGCGUCCUCUCACUCUCUCUGACACGUUUGACAAACCACACUUUAGAUAUCCAGGACCAUAUCACCAUGAAACUAGCGAAAACCCCCCUCUGUCGGCACCAGAUCUACUCCGACUCCUCAGCUUCCUCUCAAAACUUCCCCUCCAAAUUCUCUGUACUUUACCUUAAGCUUCCGUUCCACCAAUUCAUGGACUCUGAACAGCGCCGCAAGCGCAAACGCAGUCUCAGAGCUUCGCCUUCCCCUCACUCACACUGCGGGUUCUCGGCUAGAUCUCUCAUCUUAUGUCUCUCCUUUAUUUUCCUUCUCUUGUUGCUGCAUCGGUUCCCAAUCGGCACGGCGUCGUUUCGUCCAGUUGUGAUAGUUUCUACUCUCUCGCUCUUGUCUUCAUCCACCAGCAAUUCUAUCCGCGAUUAUGUUAGCAGUAGAUUAUUGUUACCGUUGAGAGUAGAGGACCGAGUCCUGUUUCCCGAUCAUGUUUUGCUGAUGGUUUCCCACAUUAACGAUAGAAGUGAGGUGCUGGAGUGUGUUUACUGCAAGGAUAUUGGAGUGGAGGCGGCGAAUAAAUUAAUUGUUAGGCCUGUGUUGUCCGUGGAUGAACUGGAUGAGCUCAGAUGGGUUGCGAGGUGUCCCCUUCCGCCCCAGAAUUACUCUGCUGAGGUUAAUCUGCGUAGACCGCCAAGGAAAGAGAGCAUCGUGGAUGGAGAUGAGUGGCUGCGGAGGGUUCAUCCCACAGUUCAUUCGUGGGAGAUGAUGGCAUAUGCGGCAGCUUUGGAUCGAGAUUCCGCGGUUGUGUUUGUCAAGGGAUUGAACCUAAGGCCGGAUAGGGAAUCAGAUCCCAGGCAAUUCAGUUGCCAUUUUGGAACGGGUGAUCGGGAGAGGGGUGGAAAAUUUGCGCUCACUACUAGGGCGUUUUCAGCUGCACAGGAGGUUAUUAGGUGUUCUUUGCCUAGGAGCAUUAGGAUGAACCCGAGUAAGGCUCAUGGGAUUAGGGUUACUGUAGGCUUGAAUUCUCAUUUCCAUGCCAAUGCCAGAGCUUCUAAUCAUGUUCUAGUACCUUCUGUGGCUAAGAUGUCAAGUCCCAAGUCAUACAAUUCCUACAAGCAUAAGAAAAAUCAGGGGAAGUAUCAGCUUUGCGUGUGCACCAUGGUAUGGAACCAAGCUUCUUCAUUACGGGAGUGGAUUAUGUACCAUGCCUGGCUUGGUGUUGAGCGCUGGUUCAUCUAUGAUAAUAACAGUGAUGAUAGAACUAAGGAGGUGAUUCAAGAGCUUGAAUUAGAAGAUUACAAUGUCACCAGGCACACCUGGCCAUGGAUUAAAACACAAGAAGCUGGUUUCUCGCACUGUGCUCUCAGAGCAAGAGAUGAAUGCAAUUGGGUGGGAUUCAUGGAUGUCGAUGAGUUCUUCUAUUUCCCAUUUCCAACCCACCGCCGAGGAUCCAAUAAACUGAUUUUUCGUGGUCAGAAUUCAUUGCGUACAUUGGUUGCAAAUUUUUCUUCAACAACCAUUGGGGAGAUCAGAACAGCUUGCCACAGCUAUGGGCCAUCUGGGUUGAAUUCCCUCCCUUCUCAAGGGGUAACUGUAGGGUACACUUGCAGGCUACAGAGCCCUGAGCGGCACAAGUCUAUUGUGCGCCCAGAUGUGCUUGACAGAACUCUUCUCAAUGUGGUGCACCACUUUCGGCUGAGAAAGGGAUUCAAGUACCUGAAUUUGCCUCAAAGCACAGGAGUGAUAAACCAUUAUAAGUAUCAGGUGUGGGAGGCUUUUAGAGCAAAGUUCUUCAGAAGGGUUGCGACCUAUGUUGCAGAUUGGCAAGAGAAGGAGAAUGAAGGGUCAAAGGAUAGAGCGCCUGGUUUGGGGACAGAAGCCAUUGAACCACCCAAGUGGCCACUACAGUUUUGCGAAGUUUGGGACACUGGUUUGAGGGACUUUGUUUUGGCUAACUUGGCUGAUCCUACCACUGGGUUGCUGCCCUGGGAAAGGUCUCUUCUCUAACAAGUUAAAUUGGGGUGGUUGCAGCUUCCCUGCCCUUGUAAACAAAUCCAUCACACGUACAACAAUUCUUUCUUUUUAUUUCUUAGCAUUUUUGUAUCUGAUGUUUUAUUUUUGAUAGAAUGAAUUCAAAAGAGGCCAUAGAUGAAUAUAGGGUUCUUACAUGUAAUUUCCAACAAUGUGACACAAUUUCUUUUAUUGUUAUGUUUAUUGAAUGAUUUAUUGAUUCACCUUUUAUCUUUGUUUAUUUUAUGUUAAAUUCGCAGUGCCUGCAGCAAAAGUUUGAUGAUGUGAAUUUGAAUUUGGUUUGAUUCAUACGCAAUUGAAUAGGCCUUAAGGGGAAAGGUUAGAAGCAAAUUGGAUAAACAGAGGAUUCUAUUAGUGACAGAAAGGAUGAUAUAAUCUUGCACACUUAAUCCCACAUAAUCCACAUAAUAAGUGAAGCAUGUGGAGUAGUAAAAAGACAACAUAAUGAAAUAGGUAAACAAUCAAGUUCAGCAAGGUAGCUUUCUAAAUGCAAAGGAAAGCAAAGCUGUCAAAGCACAUUCCUCAUAACUAAAACCAGAAUCAGAUGUCCUUUUCUGUUAUACAAUUGCUUUCUGACAUACUACUGCAACAUCACGGGACAUCCAUAUUUAGAUCAUUUCAACCACAAGAUAAACAAAAACAACAUAUCCAACUUACAUAAACAUCUAAGAGAACUUGGACAAAGUUCGGUUCUGAAUUUAACAAAAAUAUAAUCUACACCUGAUGUGGCAAUCUAUAUUCAUGUGAAAGAUAAAAUGCAAUUGAAAUUUCAUUUGGUACCAAUCUGAGUCUAGUGUUUCAAUCCAAAGCCCUAUCUUUUAGGCAUAUUGUUCAGUAUUAUCCAUUCUCAUCUAUAAUACAUUAAGGAAACUAAUGAAACGAGUAAAAGGACCAUGUGACUAUUGGAUAUUAUAUCCAAGCACAACAUCAUCAAAAUUUAAAGAUUAGAUGUUGCAGUAAAAAUAUUAUCUCAGAUGUUUCUUAGUUUUCAGCAUACUGACACUGGACAAAAAGGAAACAAUGGAACACAAAAUCUUUAAAUGAAGUUAGAGCCAUAUGCUGACUCGUUAGUGGGUAACAUCUUAACAAGGAAAUAUCAGAUCCUUGAAACAGAACGUGGAAGAUCAAGCCAGAUACACAAUGCGUGUACCAGUCAUGGUUAAAUUCCUUGUUUAGUUCCUCUUUACUCAUUUAUUUAAUUUUAAUGGUGGAUGAAUUUAAACCAUGCAUAACCUUAAUCAGAGGCAUAUUUUAAUAACUUGACAUCAAUGUUCAGAAGUCAGAGGCCUAAGCAUCUACAGAAUUUGGACAUUUGACAUACAUCAACCAACUUAUUUACUAUGUUUCAGGCUAGUAACACUAUGAUGUGUUGCCAUUUGGUGCCACUACAAGUGUCAUCAUAAAGGACAGAAAUACCAAGUUGCCAACAUUUAAUUACAAUUACAGGUUUUAGCACUUAUAUAUUCUUAUUUUAUUAUAUUGAGUGAAUAAAUAAUGGAAUUUAAUAAUCUAAUAUACAUGUGUUCUUGUAAUUCUUCUACUACUAAGAUUACCAUUGUUACCAUUAUAGUUAUUAUUAUCAUUACUAAUUUCACCUUUUAUGAACUUAUAAGGUUGCUGGUCUACUCAUGUUACAGUUAUCAUGUGAACAUAUAAGGAACAAUAAAUUUGAGCUUUCAUGACUGUACAACCAAAAAUAUGUCAGAUUGCAACUUCUCUUUCUCCUAAAUAAUAGAGUCAGCAUAUAAACAGAGCAUUAAGGAAAAGGCCAAUGAAAAGAGAAUCUUUACUAAGUAGUUGAUAGAGGAUAAUCUGUCAAAAAAGAGAAGUGUCUAUCCAGAGAGGCAAGGUAGAUAGGCAGUAUGCUUUUCAGAUCAUUGGCACACCACAACAUGUGCUUAUAAUCAUUCUACUUCCAUAUAACAUCUUAACAUAUGUAUCAAAAAGUAAUUUCUAACUGAUAGAACCCAAUGAAAUGAGGCAUAAUCUCAUCCGACAACCCAAAAGAUGGAGGGGGAAAAACUGGUGGAUUAAUUCAAGGUCAUUGAAGGGUUUUUUUAAGGUUGUCUAAAACAAUAGGACAUAUCACAGGGAGAGUUCAUUCACAUGAAAGUGAGAUAAAAUGCAUAGCAAAGUAGAAUGUGCGCCUACCAUCUGAAAGCACUUGAAAUAUUCAGGAUACAGAAUUUCUGGCAGCCAAUAAAAAUCUCAUUAUGAACUCAUAAAAGCAUGAAUUCUCUCUCCCUCCCUCUCUCUCUCUCUCUCUCUCUCUUUCUCUUAUAUAUAUAUAGCCUUGAUUAAGGCCACCAAGGAGGUUAUGCAUGCAUGAAAACAUGAACUCACAGUUUGAUAAAUUUCAAACUGUCUUGCACUGCCUAUACACAUACAUACACACACACACCCCUGGAUUGCAGGCUACAAAAAGUGUAAUUUAUACAGUUACCCAGGAACUCACAGUUCGAUAAGUUUCACACCCUGUCUUGCACUGCCACUGGGAGGUUAUUUACAUAUUUUGAAAGUGAAGCAUCCACUUUCUCUCCAAUUAAUGUUAUCCAUGCCUGCAAACAAUGAAAUAUAAGAAUUUGAAAAGCGUUAAAAAUGAUGGUUGAAAUUAACUACAAUGACAGGAAAAAAAAAAAUCUGUAUUUGAUCAUAUAUUGAUGUUAUUCGGUUCAUCAAGUCACUUCAUAAUUGUUUAAUGAAUAUAACUUUUGGUGUGAGCUAAUUGUCUUGUGUAUCAUAGACAGAUCAAAGACCCAAAGAAUGUUGAUUCAAUUUCUUUACAUUACAGGCCUGAAAAGAUCUAUCUUGGUAGAAUAAGUAAAGACAAUUGUUUCAGCCCUAAGGAGGAUUAAAAAUAAAAAGUAAAAAAUAACAAGAUGCACAAUAAAUACUACUAUGCAGUAAACCAUGCAAAACUGGUUUCUAGUACUAAGGCCUAAAGAACAGUUGAACAUGGACCGCAUGGAAUUUCUGCUGAGUGGUAAGUACAUGCAAUAGACAAAUAGCAAGUUUGUAAGGCAACAAGAAAGGCAUAAAUUUUGCUUUAAAUAUUCAGUCAGAAAAUACUAGUCCAAACUCCAAACAUAUUAAAAAACAGGAUAUAAAUCAAAAGCCUUUAGUUCCACAUCUCAUGAAAAGAUAAAUCUAAUAACAAUACAUAAUAUCUUGGAAACAACUUGGUUCUCAAAAAUAGUUAGUUUUGAUCAUAUAUCUAAAAUUUUGAAAGCUAAGAAAGAG
rnacentral:lncRNA from 1 species